AAAAAACAUAUUCUCAAAGUGGGCGGUGAGCAAAAUAAGGUUGAGAAACUAUGGGAUAAACCAUAUCACGUUGUUUCUAUUAAACAUCAUCUAGUCUUCUUCAUAAAUUAAUCUUCAAUGCUUUUACUCCCCAAUUAACAUCGGGGCUCGUCUACUACAAAUACCUUACAAAGAUCUGGAGCCAUUUUUGUAUGAAACGUAAUAGAAUAGUAUUCUUUAUAUUGUAUAUACUAAGUGUAUGUACUAGUAUACUCCAUAAAAUUUAACGACGUCAUAUUGUGAUAAUAAUAAGGGGUAUUAAAACACGUAUGUGGGUUUAUACACACGAUAUUAGUAUCACACGAGUGUUUUAAUACUUAAUUAUCAACAGUUGCAUACAAGACUUUAUCUACACCCAUAAUAUAAAAGAUUCUGAAACAGUUAGCCUAUUGCUAGCAUUAAAAACGCCAGUCCUAGUAUCAUCCAAACGAGUGUUGUAAUGUUGUACUGAAUUUCAUUACAACACUCGUUUGGAUGAUGUAAUGUUUAUUAGUACAUUGGGUGUUUUAAUGUUGGCAAUAAGCUCACUGUUUUAGAAUCUUUAAUAGAGGAUUUAAUGCAUGGAUGUAGACAAAAUAUAUAUACAUAAUAUUGAUACCACAGUUAUCAAUAUAGAAAUGCAUGUUGCUAGAAACACGAAAAAUGCGUUGAAAUUUUGAUGCACUGUAUGUUUGCUAUCUCAGUUAUUUCGGGGAGUAUCGGGGUUUUAUCAGCUCUUCCAAAGAGCUGAUUCCUGCCUCCAUGAAAUCCAUCUUCGCUUGAGACAAACCACGGGUCAGAACCAAACUGCAGAAUGAAUUUUCGCUAAGCAGUUUUUCCAGGAUGCUACGACAUUUUUUUUAUGCAAAUAAGGGACGAGACGAUCAAGACUUUCAGCUGAUGGUAACUGAUACGGAUUGCCAAUUACAAUACAGUGCCGCCCAGGAUUCUUGAAAAACCAAUAAUUCUGAGCGGCACUACAAUUGCGUUCGUCACCUUGAGCCGCAAGAUGUUAAGUCUCAUUUUCCCAGUAAUUUUACUAGCUAUGACGCCCUUCAGACCGGAAAAUUAACGCUUACACAUUACUGCUUCACGGCAGAAAUAGGCUCCGUUGUGGUGCCCAUAAUCUAGCUGGCAUCCUGUGCAAAGAAGCCUUCCACUGAUGAUGUUACUGAUAUCAAACAAAAACUUGCUCAAGGUGCAGAAGCUGCAAUUAUAGCUGCCAAUAAAUUCCACAUCCCCAAGCGAAGUGCUGAGGACUCUUCACCACAUAGACAGUAUUAUUGCUUCACGGCAGAAAUAGGCGCCGGUGUGGUAACCGGCAUCCUGUGCGAAGGAGCCUCCCACUGGUAAAGUAUUUUUUGUAGCACUGCAACAUUGUAACACCGGAGGAAUUACUGGAUCCUUACUUUUUCGUUGGGUGAACGGGCCUUUUUCAGGCUGAAAACACCGCACGAUACACUCUACAGCCAAACUGUGAUUUUGAAUUUCUACAGGUUGGCGCAGAAGAAAGUUCUAUGAAAACCGCACUGCGGUGUGAUGGUGGAAUUGCUAUUUUGUGGCAGAAAUUAUUGUGAUGAUAAAUAAAUGAUUUACCAAUGGGAGGCUUUUUGAAAAGAAUGUCAUCUAGGUAGUUCUCACAACACACUUAUGCCUUUGCCUGUCGUGAAGCAGUAAAUGGCAAAUAUUAUUGUGUGUCGGUUUUAAGGGCCCUGCAGCUAGUGAAACUACUGGGCCAAUGAGACUUGACAAAUUAUGUCUCAAAGCUUAUAUAAUUUAUACGUCUAGAUAGAGCCUCUUGCUGCUAGACAAUCGAUUAAAACAGGCCAGGUUUAUUACUUUAGUGUACGUGAAGAGCAACGUCUUAUACUUGCGAUUUUUGUGUCACCUUGUAUUAUUAGUGUGCGUGUAUUGUUCAAAAUACAGGUUAACUGUCAACCUUAAUUUUUUUCGACGUUUUCACAGCUGUCUCAAUCUAUAUAGACGUAUACCGGACGGAUACUGAAUACUGAACUGCAUUGUAAUGGGUAAAGCGUAUCACUUACCAUUACCAUUGAGUAUUUUGCUCGUUAUUAUUUGAAGUUAAGGUUGAGGGUAAAAUUUUUAUGGAUGAAAUGCAAUAAAGUGACACGAAAAUGUGGGACGUUUUUGUCCAACUUCCCUACUAUUUGUACGUUGUAUCGUGCAGGAGAAGAGAUUAGUUAGAUAUAAAGGAGAGUUUAAUAAAUUCGUUUGCCAAAGGAGUUUCACAUCUGACAUGUACCUAUGCCAUUUUUUUUUCCUUGAAAGAAGAUAUUAAAAGAUUGGUAACUUCGAAGCAUGUAUUGCACCAUUUAAGGAUUACUUUACAGUAAUGCGAGAUCGGAAAGGGUUUCGUGAUGGAAAGUAAGAGAAAGCGUAGAGUAGUAAAUAAUAUUAAAAACUUACCAAAAUUAGACUUUCUCAUUUUUUCAAAAUUACAUAGUACUUAUUGCAAGUAGAAUAACAUAUUUCGUUACUCGCUUUGUUAGCAGGACGAUUAGUUUUUCCAUUAAUAUAUAUGGAAUAUUGAAAACUUUUUCAUAGAAGAUUUGUCUAUUUACUAAUUGUUUUUGUUUUCAUAUACAUAUCUAUAUUAUUAAUUUUUAUCGUAACUAUAAAAGUGAUAUUUAUAUUUUAUAAUUACCUACUGUAUAAUUUUUCAAACAUAUUAUUUUGAAUGACUUACGGCCGUUUUCCAUAACCUAUCUAUCCUUAGUUUAACUUACUAGACGUAGACAAAUCUAUCCUUUUACGCUUACUUACAUAUCAAUAACCUAUUGACAGAUAGCAUUGGACUAUAACUAUGGAUAUAUAAGAUCUUUUCAUUAAACGGUGACAGCAAUCUAUCCGUUAGUUAAACUAAGGGUAGAUAGGUUAUUGAAAACGGCCGUAUAUCGGCUUGAUUGUAUUUGUCAAUAUAAUAUUGUAAAGCUUUGUAAGCUAGUACGGCUGAUGUUUUGGAUCUUAUGGGCACGGAUCUUGAGCGGUAUGUGAAAGUGAUGCGAAUAUAUAAUAUAAUGGUCAUAUACUGCGACAAACAGUGUGUGUGCUAUUUGUGCCAGUCCCUUGCAACCUCAUUUCUGCUCUUUCAACGACAACGCUCAAUAUCCGUGACGGCUACUUUACUGUUUUAGUCAGAAAAUAGGUAUUCUCCGAUAAUAUUAAUGUAAAUUAUUAAAGAUAAUAUUCAUUGUGGCCUUGUAUAUUUAGUGUUUAAUAAAAAAAGUUUUAAACCAA